CCUGAGCCGGGAAUGGAAAGCCCGGUACAAGCGAGGUACCAGUAUGGUAGGAAAAACCGCCAUGCAAUGGGAAGACGUGAUGUGGAGUGAAAUAUAGUAACGAAGCCCGUGAGCCAUGCGUCAAGAAAAGCCGCUAUUGUUUAUAUUGUACCCGUACCGUAAACCGACACAGGUGGAUGAGGAGAGAAUCCUAAGGCCGGCGGAAGAAGUAUUGCCAAGGAACUCGGCAAAAUGGCCCCGUAACUUAGGGAGAAGGGGUGCCUGCGAGAGCAGGCCGCAGAGAAUAGGCUCAAGCAACUGUUUAGCAAAAACACAGGUCUAUGCGAAACCGAAAGGUGAGGUAUAUGGGCUGACGCCUGCCCGGUGCUGGAAGGUUAAGAGGAGAGGUUAGACGCAAGUCGAAGCUUUGAAUUUAAGCCCCAGUAAACGGCGGCCGUAACAAUAACGGUCCUAAGGUAGCGAAAUUCCUUGUCGGGUAAGUUCCGACCCGCACGAAAGGCGUAAUGAUUUGAGCGCUGUCUCGGCAAUACAUCCGGUGAAAUUGAAGUGCCAGUGAAGAUGCUGGCUACCCGCGCCAGGACGGAAAGACCCCAUGGAGCUUUACUCCAGUUUGGCACUGGGGUCCGGUGUUGCAUGUACAGGAUAGGUGGGAGGCUGAGAGAUAGUGACGUCAGUUGCUAUGGAGCCGCUGUUGGGAUACCACCCUUGUGAUAUUGGGCUUCUAACCAGCCGCCGUAAUCCGGCGGUGGGACAAUGCCAGGCGGGGAGUUUGACUGGGGCGGUCGCCUCCGAAAGGGUAUCGGAGGCGCCCAAAGGUUCCCUCAGAAUGGACGGAAACCAUUCGAAGAGUGCAAAGGCAGAAGGGAGCUUGACUGCGACACCGACGGGUGGAGCAGGUACGAAAGUAGGGCUUAGUGAUCCGGUGGUAUUAAGUGGGAAUGCCAUCGCUCAACGGAUAAAAGCUACCCUGGGAUAACAGGCUUAUCACUCCCAAGAGUUCACAUCGACGGAGUGGUUUGGCACCUCGAUGUCGGCUCAUCGCAUCCUGGGGCUGUAGUAGGUCCCAAGGGUUGGGCUGUUCGCCCAUUAAAGCGGUACGCGAGCUGGGUUCAGAACGUCGUGAGACAGUUCGGUCCCUAUCCGGCGUGGGCGUAGGAUAUCUGAGAGGAGCUGUCCUUAGUACGAGAGGACCGGGAUGGACGGACCGCUGGUGGACCGGUUGGCUUGCCAAAGCCAUGGCCGGGUAGCCAAGUCCGGAAGGGAUAAACGCUGAAGGCAUCUAAGCGUGAAGCCCCCCUCAAGAUGAGAUAUCCCAUUCUUUAAGAAGUAAACCCCCUUGAAGACGACGAGGUAGAUAGGGCAGAGGUGGAAGUGUGGUAACACAUGGAGCUGACAAGUACUAAUAGGUCGAGGGCUUACC
rnacentral:rRNA from 1 species